CAAUAGCGUAUAUUAAAGUUGUUGCGGUUAAAAAGCUCGUAGUUGGAUUUCUGCCGAGGACGACCGGUCCGCCCUCUGGGUGAGUAUCUGGUUCGGCCUGGGCAUCUUCUUGGAGAACGUAUCUGCACUUGACUGUGUGGUGCGGUAUUCACGACUUUUACUUUGAGGAAAUUAGAGUGUUCACGGCAGGCAAGCGCCUUGAAUAUAUUAGCAUGGAAUAAUAAUAUAGGACUUUGGUUCUAUUUUGUUGGUUUCUAGAACUAAGUAAUGAUUAAUAGGGAUAAUUGGGGCGAGUUUGUAUUAACGCGUUCAGAGGUGGAAGUUCUUAGGUAUUGCGUUACGUAACAAACUACUGCGAAAGACAUUUGUCCAACGGAAGUGUUUUC
rnacentral:rRNA from 1 species